GACGAACGCUGGCGGCGUGCUUAACACAUGCAAGUCGAACGGUGAAGCUCCAGCUUGCUGGCGUGGAUCAGUGGCGAACGGGUGAGUAACACGUGAGCAACCUGCCCCUGACUCUGGAAUAAGCGCUGGAAACGGCGUCUAAUACUGGAUACGAGAAGGGUCCGCAUGGGCACUUUCUGGAAAGUUUUUCGGUUGUGGAUGGUCUCGCGGCCUAUCAGCUGGUUGGGGAGGUAAUGGCGCACCACGGCGACGACGGGUAGCCGGCCUGAGAGGGCGACCGGCCACCCUAGGACUGAGACACGGCCCAGACUCCUACGGGCGGCAGCAGUGGGGAAUAUUGCACAAUGGGCGCAAGCCUGAUGCAGCGACGCCGCGUGAGGGAUGCCGGCCUUCGGGUUGUAAACAUCUUUCAGCAGGGAAGAAGCGAACGUGACGGUACCUGCAGAAGAAGCCCCGGCUAACUACGUG
rnacentral:rRNA from 1 species